rnacentral:tRNA from 1 species
GGGCCUAUAGUAUAGUGGUAAUAUGUUCGGCUGGCAGUCGAAAGAUUCGAGUUCGAUUCUCGAUAGGUCCA